AUUGAACGCUGGCGGUAGGCCUAACACAUGCAAGUCGAACGAGUGGCGGACGGGUGAGUAAUGUCUGGGAAACUGCCCGAUGGAGGGGGAUAACUACUGGAAACGGUAGCUAAUACCGCAUACCAUCGGAUGUGCCCAGAUGGGAUUAGCUAGUAGGUGGGGUAACGGCUCACCUAGGCGACGAUCCCUAGCUGGUCUGAGAGGAUGACCAGCCACACUGGGACUGAGACACGGCCCAGACUCCUACGGGAGGCAGCAGUGGGGAAUAUUGCGCAAUGGGGGCAACCCUGACGCAGCCAUGCCGCGUGUAUGAAGAAGGCCUUCGGGUUGUAAAGUACUUUCAGUCGGGAGGCGUUACCGACAGAAGAAGCACCGGCUAACUCCGUGCCAGCAGCCGCGGUAAUUC
rnacentral:rRNA from 1 species